rnacentral:lncRNA from 1 species
UGGGUAACUUUGCUGUAGAGCAGAAAUUGGUACAACAUUAUAAACCAACUAUACCUAAAUUUUUAAUAAGUAAAUACUUAUUUUUUAAAUUAUGCAACUAUAAUUAUUUACUAAUAAUAAUUUACUUCCAAAUAAUAAUUUAUUCCCAAAUUACUUCCAAAAUUUCAUAUGGUCACCCAACCUGAGGAGGAAAUUCGUUACCCUGUGAGGUAGUCCCUCCUCCUCACACACAGAAGCUACAAUUCCUAGAAAGUUCUUCUUCAUGUUUAUUCAAUAUCUGCUUCCUGGUAAAUUUUUCUUAAUUUAGUUCUGCCUUCUAUAUCUACACAAAUUAAAUUCCAGGACAUCUUCUCUAAAGAAGUAUUUAAGAAUAUUAUCUUCUGGUUCUUGUCCACUCAAACAUUUUAUAAUGUUUAUAAUACCAGAAUAUAUACUUUUUGUACUAUUUGUAAGAGCUUUUAGAAUGUUCACUUCAGUCAUUUACUCAGCAAACAUUUGCUCCUAAACAAAACAAAUAGCAAGAGGUAUUUCUUUUUAAAUAUUAUCUAUUUUUUCCUUUCUGGUAUUGUUCUUAACCUCAUUUCUUCUCUCUAGCCUUCAUGUCUUGUAGAGAUAGAGAAAUACUUAAAAUUUUAAAAAAUUAAAGAGAAAGCAAGGAAUAGGAUUGUUUCUUCAGGAAAAACAAAUAAUGGCAAGAUACAAAAUCGAUUUCAUAUGUCAGGUAUAGAACAUUGGCCAUAGGAUCUUUAAAAUGGUGUAAGCUCUCAUUUAAAUCUACUUCACGGGCUUUGUGAGGGUUAUAUAAAAUAAUAUAAGAAAAACAGAAUAUAUUGAAAGUACUAUGUAAGCAUUAGUGAUUAUUAUAAUAAUGCAUCUUUUAUACAACCAUUCCGAAAAACAGUAUGGAGUUUCCUCAGAAAACUAAAUAUAGAACUACCAUAUGACUUAGCAAUACCACUCCUGAGCAUGUAUCAGACAAAAUUUUCAUUCAAAAAUAUACAUGCACUCCUAUGUUCAUUGCAACACUAUUCACAAUAGCCAUGACAUGGAAACUACCUAAAUGUCCACUGACAGAUGAAUGGAUUAAGAAGAUGUAGUACAUAUAUACAAUGGCAUAGUACUCAGCCAUUAAAAAGAACAAAAUAAUGACAUUGGCAACAACAUGGAUGCAACUAGAGAUUAUCAUACUAAAGUCAGAAAGAGAAAGACAAAUACCAUAUGACAUCACUUCCAUGUGGAAUCUUAAAUAUAGCACAAAUGAACCUAUGUACAAAACAGAAACAGACUCACAGACAUGGACAGCAGACUCGUGGUUACCAAAGGGAUGGGUGGGAGAGUGGGAUGGGCUGGGAGUUUGGGGUUGGUAGAUGCAAACUAUUACAUUUAGAAUGGAUAAGCAAUAAGGUCAUGCUGUAUAGCACAAAGAACUAUAUCUAAUCACUUGUGAUAGAACAUGAUCUCUCUUUAGAUCUUGUUUUAUAUACCACUUCCUGACCAAGAAACUUAAAAAAAAAUAAGCUAUUAGAAAUAUAAGGGGAAAUAUACUCAUUGUAUCCUCUAUAACAAUAAAUUUGAAAAUCUAGAUUAAACAUUUCAUACACUAGAAAAACGAAAAUUGUCAAACUGCUUCAAAAGGAGGUAGGAAAUGUGAACAGAUCCUUAGACCCACAGAGGCAGAAGGCAGGAGUCACGACUGCCCUGCUCAACACAGUAAAUGCCUCCACCCAGAGCAUCUCAGUUACUGGACAGACAUUCAGUACAUUCUAUGUAGGCACUGAAUAACUCAAACAGGUAAGAAAAAAGUGAAAAGAUUUCUAUCCCCAAAAUCCAACAGGACUACAUGAUUUUAGAGAAUGGCUCUAUUAAACAUUUUGAAACAAGAAAUUCCUAUUUACUCUUAAAAUCAAUUUGUAUCUCUAGCUAAGCUAGCUUAGUAAAACUUGAAAGAGUGUCUAUGAAUACAGAUGCCAAAAUCCUAAAUACAGUGUUUUAAAAUUACUCUAGAAGUGUAAUAAAGAAGUAUAAGAGCAAGUGUAGUUUUUUUUUAAUAUCAGGAAUAAAAGAGCAGCUCAAUAUUAAGACAUUUAUUAAAGCAGAAAAUCACAUGAUUAUAUUGAGCUGCAGAAAAGACAACAAUAUUCCUGAUAAAAAUCUUUUAGAAAAUGUGAAUUGGAAAAGAUUUUCAUAAUGUUAUUUUAAGUAUUUAUCAUAAAUUAGUAGUAAAUAUAGUUUUAGACAUUGGAAUCACAUUUUCCUAAAAACAGAACAACACAUGGAUGCCCUCUUGUCAUUUUAAAUGAUUAUCUAGACUAAAAAACCCUUAAGGGUUGGGGCAAGAUCAAAUUCAUAUUUAUAUUACCAUAUGUUUAUCAUCACUUUUUUUCUUUUUACGGCCACACCUAUGGCAUAUGGAAGCUCCCAGGCUAUGGGUCGAAUUACAGCUGCUGUUGAGACCGACACCACCACCACAGCAACACCAGAUACAAGACAUAUCUGUGACCUACAUCACAGCUUGCAGCAAUGCCAGAUCCUUAACCCACUGAGCAAGGCCAGGGAUCGAACCUGCAUCCUUACAGAGACAACCGUCAUGUCCUUCACCUGCUGAGCCAUAAUGGGAAAUCCUAUCACCACUUUUAAAGUAUUUCAUAAAUGAUAUUCUUAUGCUCUGGAAUCUUUUAGUAAAAUCAAACCUCAAAUUACUCAGCAGGCAAAUAAACUGAAAUGAGUAACUAAGUAAAAAUUAUAAUCUCCAUGUGACUUUAAGAAAUCCUCAGAAGCCCUAGCCCCAGAUAAACUAAGAACCAUGUAUUCCAUAAUUUCUAUGAUCAGGUGAAACUUUUAGUCUGUCACUCAUUCCAGUUUCUGUAAAUAUUGCCAUUUGGUCAUUUAUCAGAAGGUUUGAGCAGUCCUCCAGAUAAAAUCACUGGUUGGCUCUUCCCCAUUGAAAUCUAUGCAUGGUAGAACCUAUUUCUGCUUGUUUCCCUGUCUUCCCUUGUCACUUUCUGUUUGAGUCUAAGAUGAAAGCUGAAGAAGAAGGCAGACAUGGACCUGAUAAGUGUGUUCUCAAGUCAGCCCUAAGAACUGCCAAGUCCAGAAGUUCUUGCCAGAUCAAAUUCCUUGGAUGCUCUUUGACCAGCGACACCUUUACACCAUCUUAUGAAGGCUCUUCCUCAGUCUUGUCUUUGUUUCCCUGAGAACUGCUUCAUUUGAUUUUGUCUACCCAGAUGUCAGAGUCACUGGACCCCAGCUAGUGACAAAUAACCUUUGGUCAGUUUCUAGAGACUAGAGGUUUGCACAAGUAUCAUUUUUGGUAAUCAUUGCAAUUCUAAUGGGAUCUUCUCCAUCUGUUUGUCUGCCUGGCUGAAUGCCUCCUUGAUUUCUGUUUUCUUUCAUAUGCAUUCUUCUGUACCUGGUAUAAUUCUACCACUAAUAUUCAGUGGCCACUUUGGGGAGAUUUUAACAAGGAUAAGAUCAUUCAUUGGAGAGAGAAUUUCAAAUGAAAGAGGAAGCAACCCUCACAAGAUUCUGUUUUGUCAAUACAAAAGAGAGAAAACAAAGGAGAAAUCCUUUUUAUUUUAUGCUUCAAGGAUCAAGAGAUAUUAGAGUUUUGAAUUGUACAUUUGAUAGAAUUGCCAAACGCCUGAGUUACUGUUUUAAACUGGCCGAGUUGGUCUGUCUGUCUGCUCCUCUCCUAGCCUGAACCAAAUGUGUGUUCAUGUGUACAUUCCAGCUAGCCCCCAAAUGCUUGUGUGAAGAUGGGUUUUCAUGCAACUAGGCCUACUCCCUCCUAGAGGGGAGAUAAGUAGCACUUUUCAACAAUGAUUUUAUAUUAGUCUAGAGUCAGCUACUUUUUCCUUUUUCCUUUUGUUCCCUCUCACUUUCCUACUCUUGGGAAACUUUAGAGAUUAAAUGAUCAUAAAAUAUUGUUUGGUACUAAUUUACACACUCUAGAAGUAUCUACUCUGGGUAGUCAAGAAUUUUUUAAAAGAGAAAGACAGAAAAUGUUAACUACACUUCUUUUGUAUGUUUUCCUAGCUAAAGCAUUAACUCAGAAGAAAAGGCUUAAAUGUGAAUUUGGUUAAUCACCUUUAAUUCCAGAUAAGAAGAAAAGCUAGACAGAGCUUUUAAAAUUAAUUCCAGGGUCUUAAAAUAUACCUAAUAGAUAGAUAAGCUUUCAACAAAUUAGAAUGAUUUCAUUUUAAGUUAAAACAAAUCCCAUAUCUUUCCCAAGGUUUUGUCAGCAUGUAAAAAAUAAUAUUUUCACAAUAUUUUAAUUAGUACAAGAUUUGGGUUUAAUUUGUAAUGAUUACCUUUUUAAAAACUUCUUCCAUUAGUUCCAUGUGUCUUGGGAGGUAUAAUUUAUUCCAGAAAUUGUUUAAAAUUAGAAAAAUACAUAAAAAUAUUUUUAAUAAAUGAAAUUGAAUUGACAGAUUUUUUUAAAGCAUUUAACCUUGUAACUUUUCUAAUGCUAAAAUAAAUCAUAGGAUAUUCUGAUUUAUAUGGUCUUUUCCAGACUGCUAGUAUUUCUGUGAUUUUAGACUAAUGUUAAAUUGUGUUAUUUAAUAAAUAAUCUUUGGAUACCUGCAUAAUUUCUUGAUAAGAGAAAUAUAUAGUCAUUAAACAUAGUUUUAAAUCUCCUUUAUUAUUUAAUUUUACAUAGAAAAUGACUACAAAUUAAGGAGAUAUGCAAAUUUCUUUAUAUAACUACAGAUUCAUUUGAGUAAUAAAAAAAAAUGCUUUAAAAAAAAUAAAGUUAAAAUUUUGUGAGAGUUCCUCUAUGGCAGAUUGGGUUAAGAAUCUGACUGCAGCAGCUUGGAUCAUUCUGGAGGCAUAGAUUCAAUCCUGUCUGGCACAGUGAAUUAAAGGAUCUGGUAUUGCAGUAGCUGUGAUGUAAGGUCACAGCUGUGGCUCAGGUUCAAUUCUUGGCCUGAGAAUUUCCAUGCUCAACCAUAAAAAAAAAAAGUUAAAAUUUUGCUAAAUUAAUAAAAUUGACUAUGGAGAAAGCAUAAUACAUGUACAAGACAUAAAGACAGCCACAGAAUAGGAGAAAAUACUUGCAAACAAAGCCACCAAUAAGGGAUCAAUCGCCAAAAUAUCCAAACAGCUCAUGCAGCGCAAU